ACCGUGCGCUCGCCUAAUCCCGCACGACCUGCUCUCCGGGGCAGGUCAGGGAGCCGGGGAACCACCGUUCCUUGGGGUGAAUCGGCCAGGCCCAGGCCCGGCCGUAGGAGACCUUCCUGCUCCGAACCCGUCAGCUAACCCGGUAGGCGCGAAGGAAGGAAAG
rnacentral:sRNA from 2 species